rnacentral:rRNA from 1 species
AAUCAACGCUGGCGGCGUGCCUCAGACAUGCAAGUCGAACGCGAAAGCCUCCUUCGGGGGGCAAGUAGAGUGGCGCACGGGUGAGUAACACGUAGGUAAUCUACCUUUGGAUUGGGAAUAACCACCGGAAACGGUGGCUAAUACCGAAUAAUGCAGCGGCACCUAAUGGUGACAGUUGUUAAAGCGGGGGAUCGCAAGACCUCGCGUCUGAAGAGGAGCCUGCGGCAGAUUAGCUAGUUGGUAAGGUAACGGCUUACCAAGGCGAUGAUCUGUAGCCGGCCUGAGAGGGCGGUCGGCCACACUGACACUGACAUACGGGUCAGACUCCUACGGGAGGCAGCAGUCGGGAAUUUUGGGCAAUGGGCGAAAGCCUGACCCAGCAACGCCGCGUGAAGGAUGAAAUCCCUCGGGAUGUAAACUUCGCAAGAACGGGAAGAAUAAGUAAGGGUUAAUAUCUCUUACGAUGACGGUACUGUUUGUAAGCUCCGGCUAACUCCGUGC